rnacentral:rRNA from 1 species
ACACACGCUGGCGGCAUGCCUCACCCAUGCCAGUCGAACGGACAGAACAGGGAAGCUUUUCGGAGUGGAACUGGAAAGUUAGUGGCGGAUGGGUGAGUAACGCGUGGACAACCUACCUUGUAAAGGGGAAUAACCUCGAGAAAUCGAAGCUAAUACCCCAUAAUAACCUUGCUUCGCAUGAAGUAAGGAGGAAAGGCGGCCUUAGCGCUGUCGAUACAAGAUGGGUCCGCGUCUGAUUAGCUAGUUGGUGAGGUAAAGGCUCACCAAGGCGACGAUCAGUAGCCGGCCUGAGAGGGUGAACGGCCACAUUGGGACUGAGACACGGCCCAAACUCCUACGGGAGGCAGCAGUGGGGAAUCUUCCGCAAUGGGCGAAAGCCUGACGGAGCAAUGCCGCGUGAGUGAAGAAGGCCUUCGGGUUGUAAAACUCUGUCCUUAUCGAAGAGAGAGUGUUGUAGUAACUGACAAUACUAGGACGGUAGAUGAGGAGGAAGCCCCGGCUAACUAUGUG